UAUUAGUUAUAAAGAUCGUUGACAGGUUAUAUGGCCCUAUAUAAACGGCUGUUUGUAAAUAUAACCCGAGCCGUUAGGCGAGGGUUAUAUUGCAAACAGCCGUUUAUAUACGGCCAUAUAACCUGUCAACGAUCUUUAUAACGAAUUUAUAAUACUGCACAUAUGUUAAUUUACCUUUAAAUGUAAUAAUUUUAUUUAAAACGCGCUGAAAACUGUUCUACGAUUUAUUAUUUUUGCGUCGUAAUAUUCCCCGUUGAGAGCCUCAUAAGAACGGAAUGUCCCGAAUCGCCUUCGGAACUCUACGCUGUCAUAUGAUCACGAGUCCUCGACGAACCAAUAAGACGGCAUCAAUUUCCAGCAUAGUUCAAAGGUCACAUGUAAACAGUUCAGUGUGUGUAUUGGCGUGGAAAAUUGGAAGCGGGAAUCGUUAAUUAUUGGAAUAUAAUUAUAUUUGGAGAUUUGCUGCGUAUACUGAUGUUGAUCAACAUUUAAUUUGGGCAAUUUUGAGAGAGAACAAUUUAACAAAUGACAGUUUGCUCAGGAUAUUGGAAAAAGAAACAGACUCAGUCUUCUGAAUUUAUGGAGAAGUUUUAUAUCUUAGUGAGUCACUCAGAUGAUCAAACCUGUGAACUUGCGCUAUAACUUUAUAAAUAUAAACUCAUAAACAGGUGAAAAAUACAAAAAUGUGAAAACCAAACAUAUUAAAUAAUGGUAACACUUAUUUAACAAAAAAG